GGAGGGGGUUUAGCGUUUGUUCGGAAUUACUGGGCGUAAAGCGCACGUAGGCGGACUGGAAAGUAUGGGGUGAAAUCCCAGGGCUCAACCCUGGAACUGCCUCAUAAACUAUCAGUCUAGAGUUCGAGAGAGGUGAGUGGAAUUCCGAGUGUAGAGGUGAAAUUCGUAGAUAUUCGGAGGAACACCAGUGGCGAAGGCGGCUCACUGGCUCGAUACUGACGCUGAGGUGCGAAAGUGUGGGGAGCAAACAGGGAUUAGAUACCCUGGUAGUCCACACCGUAAACGAUGAAUGCCCAGUCGUCGGGUAGCAUGCUAUUCGGUGACACACCUAACGGAUUAAGCAUUCCGCCUGGGGAGUACGGUCGCAAGAUUA
rnacentral:rRNA from 1 species